rnacentral:rRNA from 1 species
AGGGCGCAAGCGUUAUCCGGAAUUAUUGGGCGUAAAGAGCUCGUAGGCGGUUUGUCACGUCUGCUGUGAAAACCCGAGGCUCAACCUCGGGCCUGCAGUGGGUACGGGCAGACUAGAGUGCGGUAGGGGAGAUUGGAAUUCCUGGUGUAGCGGUGGAAUGCGCAGAUAUCAGGAGGAACACCGAUGGCGAAGGCAGAUCUCUGGGCCGUAACUGACGCUGAGGAGCGAAAGGGUGGGGAGCA